rnacentral:misc_RNA from 1 species
CAGGGUUUCACAAGGGGCUCCGGCCCCGCACCCAACCCUCCAAAGCUCCGGCCUUCGUUUCGGCAACAAAAAGGCUGGGGGGCCCCAUUCGUAAGCGGAUGGCCCUCCAAGCCCGCCGAACUUUGCCAACUCUAAAAAACUAAACUAUGAAGUCUGAUUUUACAUUUUGCAAAUAGCGAAAA